rnacentral:rRNA from 1 species
AUUGAACGCUGGCGGCAUGCCUUACACAUGCAAGUCGAGCGGUAACAGGUCUUCGGAUGCUGACGAGUGGCGAACGGGUGAGUAAUAUAUCGGAACGUGCCCAGUAGUGGGGGAUAGCCCGGCGAAAGCCGGAUUAAUACCGCAUACGACCUACGGGUGAAAGGGGGGGAUCGCAAGACCUCUCGCUAUUGGAGCGGCCGAUAUCAGAUUAGGUAGUUGGUGGGGUAAAGGCCUACCAAGCCUGCGAUCUGUAGUUGGUCUGAGAGGACGACCAGCCACACUGGGACUGAGACACGGCCCAGACUCCUACGGGAGGCAGCAGUGGGGAAUUUUGGACAAUGGGCGCAAGCCUGAUCCAGCAAUGCCGCGUGCAGGAAGAAGGCCUUCGGGUUGUAAACUGCUUUUGUCAGGGAAGAAAUCCUCUGGGUUAAUACCUCGGGGGGAUGACGGUACCUGAAGAAUAAGCACCGGCUAACUACGUGCCAGCCGCCGCCGUAACAC